rnacentral:rRNA from 1 species
GACAGAGGUCCCGAGCGUUAGGCGGAAUCACUGGGCUUAAAGCGUGUGUAGGCGGAUGCCUAAGUACCUUGUGAAAUCCCACGGCUCACCCGUGGAACUGCUUGGUAUACUGGGUGUCUUGAGCCACUUAGGGGCUACCGGAACAAAUGGUGGAGCGGUGAAAUGCGUAGAUAUCAUUUGGAACGCCAAUGGUGAAAAUAGGUAGCUGGGAGUGUGCUGACGCUGAGACACGAAAGCCAGGGGAGCAAACGGG